ensembl:misc_RNA Y_RNA Y RNA
GGCAGGUCCCAGUGCAGUGCUAUUUACAACUAGUUAAUCACAACCAGUUACAGAUUGCCUUGUUUCUUCUCCACUCCCACUGCUUCACUUGACUAAACUAAG